rnacentral:snRNA from 1 species
AUCACUUCUCAACUUUUUGGUUAAGAUCACGUGUAGUAUGUGUUCUCGUCAAUUUACUAUCUGAUAAUAAACCCUUCACUACUACAGUAUUAUAAUUUUUUUAUUUGCAACAGUC